CUAACACAUGCAAGUCGAGCGGAAACGACACUAACAAUCCUUCGGGUGCGUUAAUGGGCGUCGAGCGGCGGACGGGUGAGUAAUGCCUAGGAAAUUGCCUUGAUGUGGGGGAUAACCAUUGGAAACGAUGGCUAAUACCGCAUAAUGCCUACGGGCCAAAGAGGGGGACCUUCGGGCCUCUCGCGUCAAGAUAUGCCUAGGUGGGAUUAGCUAGUUGGUGAGGUAAUGGCUCACCAAGGCGACGAUCCCUAGCUGGUCUGAGAGGAUGAUCAGCCACACUGGAACUGAGACACGGUCCAGACUCCUACGGGAGGCAGCAGUGGGGAAUAUUGCACAAUGGGCGAAAGCCUGAUGCAGCCAUGCCGCGUGUAUGAAGAAGGCCUUCGGGUUGUAAAGUACUUUCAGUUGUGAGGAAGGGGGUAGCGUUAAUAGCUCUAUCUCUUGACGUUAGCAACAGAAGAAGCACCGGCUAACUCCGUGCCAGCAGCCGCGGUAAUACGGAGGGUGCGAGCGUUAAUCGGAAUUACUGGGCGUAAAGCGCACGCAGGUGGUUCAUUAAGUCAGAUGUGAAAGCCCGGGGCUCAACCUCGGAACUGCAUUUGAAACUGGUGAACUAGAGUACUGUAGAGGGGGGUAGAAUUUCAAGUGUAGCGGUGAAAUCCGUAGAGAUCUGAAGGAAUACCAGUGGCGAAGGCGGCCCCUGGACAGAUACUGACACUCAAAUGC
rnacentral:rRNA from 1 species